UUCAAAAGUUCUUGCCAACCAAUUACUAAGACACCAACAACACAAAUAAUAAAUACAUCUCAAAUGAAUAGGAUGGACAGAGAAUAAUCUUCCUAAUUUUACAACAUUGAAUAAAACACUGUAUACUUUCUAUAAACACUCAUGGCAGCCAAAAUGAAAAAGCAAUGACAAAAACAACACAGCAAACUGUAUCAUCACACUAUAAAUCAAAAUACGAGAUUUUUCUUCUUUUGUUUUCCCUUCCAAAUUAUUAAACUUUAACCUCACCUUUAGGUUCAGAAGAAGGCACUUUAACCUCGCCUUUAGGUUCAGAAGAAGGCGUUUUCGAGUUGGUAGAUUUUCCAAUGAUAGCUUUCUUUGCCUUCACAAGUGUGUGCUUCACCUUGGACAAAAUGGUAUUUGAUU
rnacentral:lncRNA from 1 species